CGGCAUCUCAUGUAUUACACACCCCGUCUUCGGACCGGCUGCUCGUUACUCGUGUGUUGAUUUGAGGGGCACAUAUUGGACUCACCUCUGGAGAUUUUAGGUUCCUUUUCAAAACAAUGUAUCCAGGUGUAGAGAGCAAAAUGGAGUCUCUCAUGUCAAGCAGGAGCCUGUGUCAAGCAAUGACCGCAAGCAGUUAAGGUACUGCAGCUAGAAGAUACCACCCAGACCAACCUCAGCUGACACCCCAGAACUGAUAACGUGUAGAACCAGAGGAGGUCUGCAGAGACCCAAAACUGAUUAAAUCCCUUUAAAAAGGGAAGGAUUUUGGCAGGAAACGGUCAGACUUUUCAGACCUGAUCCCUCUAUGUCUGACCAUUUUAAAAAGGCAACUGCCCCUGAAGGCUGAUCCCUGAACAGAACGGAGAUCCUUCACUGCCUGAACAUCAGAAGCAAUAAGUGUCAAGAGCUGACCCGG